rnacentral:rRNA from 1 species
GACGAACGCUGGCGGCGUGCUUAACACAUGCAAGUCGAACGGCAAGGCCCUGCUUUUGUGGUGUGCUCGAGUGGCGAACGGGUGAGUAACACGUGAGUAACCUGCCCUAGACUUUGGGAUAACUUCAGGAAACUGGGCCUAAUACCGGAUAGGAGCUCCUCUUGCAUUGUGGGGGUUGGAAAGUUGCGGCGGUUGGGGAUGGACGCGCGGCUUUUCAGUUUGUUGGUGGGGGAGUGGAUUACCAAGGCUGUGACGGGUAGCCGGCCUGAGAGGGUGACCGGCCACAUUGGGACUGCGGGACGGCACAGACUCCUACGGGGGGCAGCAGUGGGGAAUAUUGCACAAUGGGCGGAAGCCUGUUGCGGCAACGCCGCGUGCGGGAUGACGGCCUUCGGGGUGUAAACCGCUUUCGCCUGUGACGAAGCGUGAGUGACGGUAAUGGGUAAAGAAGCACCGGCUAACUACGUG